rnacentral:rRNA from 1 species
GAUGAACGCUAGCGGCGUGCCUAAUACAUGCAAGUCGAACGCAUUGAAAGAAGUGCUUGCACUUUUCAAUUUGAGUGGCGAACGGGUGAGUAACACGUGGGCAACCUACCUGAUAGCGGGGGAUAACGAGUGGAAACAUUCGCUAAUACCGCAUAACAAUAGAGAAGGCAUCUUCUUUAUUUAAAAGGCGCUUUCAAGCGUCACUAUCAGAUGGGCCCGCGGUGCAUUAGUUAGUUGGUGGGGUGAAGGCCUACCAAGACGAUGAUGCAUAGCCGAGUUGAGAGACUGAUCGGCCACAUUGGGACUGAGACACGGCCCAAACUCCUACGGGAGGCUGCAGUAGGGAAUCUUCCACAAUGGACGAAAGUCUGAUGGAGCAACGCCGCGUGUGUGAUGAAGGCUUUCGGGUCGUAAAGCACUGUUGUAUGGGAAGAAAUGCUAGGCUAGGAAAUGAGCUUAGUUUGACGGUACCAUACCAGAAAGGGACGGCUAAAUACGUGCCAGCCGCCGCGGUAA